rnacentral:rRNA from 1 species
UUUCUACGCUAUAGCUUGCGCAUGCAGUCGAGCGAGUAGUCACACGAUAAGCUUGCUCUCGGGUGACGAGCGGCGGACGGGUGAGUAAUGUCUGGGAAACUGCCUGAUGGAGGGGGAUAACUACUGGAAACGGUAGCUAAUACCGCAUAACGUCGCAAGACCAAAGUGGGGGACCUUCGGGCCUCAUGCCAUCAGAUGUGCCCAGAUGGGAUUAGCUAGUAGGUGGGGUAACGGCUCACCUAGGCGACGAUCCCUAGCUGGUCUGAGAGGAUGACCAGCCACACUGGAACUGAGACACGGUCCAGACUCCUACGGGAGGCAGCAGUGGGGAAUAUUGCACAAUGGGCGCAAGCCUGAUGCAGCCAUGCCGCGUGUGUGAAGAAGGCCUUCGGGUUGUAAAGCACUUUCAGCGGGGAGGAAGGCGGUGAGGUUAAUAACCUUGUCGAUUGACGUUACCCGCAGAAGAAGCACCGGCUAACUCCGUGCCAGCAGCCGCGGUAAUACGGAGGGUGCAAGCGUUAAUCGGAAUUACUGGGCGUAAAGCGCACGCAGGCGGUCUGUCAAGUCGGAUGUGAAAUCCCCGGGCUCAACCUGGGAACUGCAUUCGAAACUGGCAGGCUAGAGUCUUGUAGAGGGGGGUAGAAUUCCAGGUGUAGCGGUGAAAUGCGUAGAGAUCUGGAGGAAUACCGGUGGCGAAGGCGGCCCCCUGGACAAAGACUGACGCUCAGGUGCGAAAGCGUGGGGAGCAAACAGGAUUAGAUACCCUGGUAGUCCACUCCGUAAACGAUGUCGAUUUGGAGGUUGUGCCCUUGAGGCGUGUCUUCCGGAGCUAACGCGUUAAAUCGACCGCCUGGUGCAAUACAGCCUCCAGGUUAAAACUCAGAUGAUUUGACUGCGGCCUGCACAAACGGUGGAGCAUGUGUUUUAAUUCGAUGCAUCGCGAAGAAACUUACCCGGCCUUGACAUCCACACACCUUCCAUAGAUGUAUAGGUUGGGUUCGCCACGGGGAAAACGGUAACGGCUGGGUGUUCUCACCCCU